CCUCUCUCUCUCCUCUCUCCUCUCUCCUCUCUCCCCUCUCUCUCCUCUCUCUCUCUCUCUCUCUUUCUCUCUCUCUCUCUUUCUCUCUCGGUAAAUGUGUCCUUAUUUGGCUGGAACUGACAGUCCAGUCACCCCUGUUGCCAUAUUAUAUAGUCAUUAUGAAUGAAGCACUUGUAACAUAAAUGUAGAAUUAGAGAACUGACUUAUCUCUUACUCUCUCGACCAAUGAUUCUUAAAUAUUUUUACAUUUCCAGGUCGUAUGUGAAAAAAUUGCUGGUCACCUCAUUCGAUUUUAUAUUAGUUUUAGAUCCCUGUUUUGCUCUGUGGGAAGUAACCGAAAAAAAAACAGAAAUACUCGCCAGUGAAAAAAAUCACCCAUAUUUUCUAUGAAGAAUGUACAUUGGAAUAUUAUAUAGUGAGACCAUGAAAAACACCACCAAAAUAGCCCUACCAAGGUAGCAAGACUUCUGUACCGUUUCCACUGGUUAUCUUUUCUGCUGGUACUGGAUGUGAAUCAGCGUCCACGCCUCGGAAAAUCCAGUACGAAGCCGAACUUUGUCUAGAGCUGUCUGAAUCGUUCUUUGUAUAUUUGUACAUAUAGUUAGUAAAGCUUUGAAGAUUUGAAAGUGUGUAAGCAAUUAAAAUUUGGUAUACAUUA